UCAAAUCAGCACACCUAGGGAGGUCUGCUGAUUUGA
rnacentral:misc_RNA from 1 species